AGGUUAAGUGAAUAAGGGCGCACGGUGGAUGCCUUGGCACUAGGAGCCGAUGAAGGACGGGACUAACACCGAUAUGCUUUGGGGAGCUGUAAGUAAGCUAUGAUCCAGAGAUUUCCGAAUGGGGGAACCCAAUAUCUUUUAUAGGAUAUUACUUUUCAGUGAAUACAUAGCUGAUUAGAGGUAGACGCAGAGAACUGAAACAUCUUAGUACCUGCAGGAAGAGAAAGAAAAUUCGAUUCCCUGAGUAGCGGCGAGCGAAACGGGAAGAGCCCAAACCAACAAGCUUGCUUGUUGGGGUUGUAGGACUCCGAUAUGGUAGUCUGUUAGUAUAGUUGAAGGAUUUGGAAAAUUCCGCUAAAGAGGGUGAAAGCCCCGUAGACGAAAUGCUGACAACACCUAGGAGGAUCCUGAGUACGGCGGAACACGAGAAAUUCCGUCGGAAUCCGCGGGGACCAUCCCGCAAGGCUAAAUACUCCCUAGUGACCGAUAGUGAACCAGUACCGUGAGGGAAAGGUGAAAAGCACCCCGGAAGGGGAGUGAAAUAGAUCCUGAAACCGUGUGCCUACAACAAGUCAAAGCUCGUUAAUGAGUGAUGGCGUGCCUUUUGUAGAAUGAACCGGCGAGUUACGAUUGCAUGCGAGGUUAAGUCGAAGAGACGGAGCCGCAGCGAAAGCGAGUCUGAAUAGGGCGAAUGAGUAUGUAGUCGUAGACCCGAAACCAUGUGAUCUACCCAUGUCCAGGUUGAAGGUGCGGUAAAACGCACUGGAGGACCGAACCCACGUACGUUGAAAAGUGCGGGGAUGAGGUGUGGGUAGCGGAGAAAUUCCAAACGAACUUGGAGAUAGCUGGUUCUCUCCGAAAUAGCUUUAGGGCUAGCCUCGGAAUUGAGAAUGAUGGAGGUAGAGCACUGUUUGGACUAGGGGCCCAUCUCGGGUUACCGAAUUCAGAUAAACUCCGAAUGCCAUUCAUUUAUAUCCGGGAGUCAGACUGCGAGUGAUAAGAUCCGUAGUCGAAAGGGAAACAGCCCAGACCACCAGCUAAGGUCCCAAAAUAUAUGUUAAGUGGAAAAGGAUGUGGGGUUGCACAGACAACUAGGAUGUUGGCUUAGAAGCAGCCACCAUUUAAAGAGUGCGUAAUAGCUCACUAGUCGAGUGACCCUGCGCCGAAAAUGUACCGGGGCUAAACAUAUUACCGAAGCUGUGGACUACACCAUUAGGUGUAGUGGUAGGAGAGCGUUCUAAGGGCGUUGAAGGUCGAUCGUGAGGACGGCUGGAGCGCUUAGAAGUGAGAAUGCCGGUAUGAGUAGCGAAAGACAGGUGAGAAUCCUGUCCACCGUAUGACUAAGGUUUCCUGGGGAAGGCUCGUCCGCCCAGGGUUAGUCGGGACCUAAGCCGAGGCCGAUAGGCGUAGGCGAUGGACAACAGGUUGAUAUUCCUGUACCAGUUGUUUUUGUUUGAGCAAUGGAGGGACGCAGUAGGCUAAGGAAUGCAUGCGAUUGGAAGUGCAUGUCCAAGCAAUGAGUCUUGAGUAGAGUUAAAUGCUUUACUCUCUAAGGACAAGUUGUGACGGGGAGCGAAAUAAUAGUAGCGAAGUUCCUGAUGUCACACUGCCAAGAAAAGCUUCUAGUGAGAAAACAACUGCCCGUACCGUAAACCGACACAGGUAGUCGAGGAGAGUAUCCUAAGGUGAGCGAGCGAACUCUCGUUAAGGAACUCGGCAAAAUGACCCCGUAACUUCGGGAGAAGGGGUGCUGACUUCGGUCAGCCGCAGUGAAUAGGCCCAAGCGACUGUUUAUCAAAAACACAGGUCUCUGCAAAAUCGUAAGAUGAAGUAUAGGGGCUGACGCCUGCCCGGUGCUGGAAGGUUAAGAGGAUGGGUUAGCUUCGGCGAAGCUCAGAAUUGAAGCCCCAGUAAACGGCGGCCGUAACUAUAACGGUCCUAAGGUAGCGAAAUUCCUUGUCGGGUAAGUUCCGACCCGCACGAAAGGCGUAACGAUUUGGGCACUGUCUCAACGAGAGACUCGGUGAAAUUUUAGUACCUGUGAAGAUGCAGGUUACCCGCGACAGGACGGAAAGACCCCAUGGAGCUUUACUGUAGUUUGAUAUUGAGUGUUUGUACCACAUGUACAGGAUAGGUAGGAGCCGAUGAGACCGGAACGCUAGUUUCGGAGGAGGCGCUGGUGGGAUACUACCCUUGUGUUAUGAACCCUCUAACCCGCACCACUAAUCGUGGUGGGAGACAGUGUCAGAUGGGCAGUUUGACUGGGGCGGUCGCCUCCUAAAAGGUAACGGAGGCGCCCAAAGGUUCCCUCAGAAUGGUUGGAAAUCAUUCGAAGAGUGUAAAGGCAGAAGGGAGCUUGACUGCGAGACCUACAAGUCGAGCAGGGACGAAAGUCGGGCUUAGUGAUCCGGUGGUUCCGCAUGGAAGGGCCAUCGCUCAACGGAUAAAAGCUACCCUGGGGAUAACAGGCUUAUCUCCCCCAAGAGUCCACAUCGACGGGGAGGUUUGGCACCUCGAUGUCGGCUCGUCGCAUCCUGGGGCUGUAGUCGGUCCCAAGGGUUGGGCUGUUCGCCCAUUAAAGCGGCACGCGAGCUGGGUUCA
rnacentral:rRNA from 1 species